CAUGUACUCCCUCCGUCCGGAAAUACUUGUCAUCAAAAUGGAUAAAAGGGGAUGCAUCUAGACGUAUUUUAGUUCUAGAUACAUCUCUUUUUAUCCAUUUUGAUGACAAGUAUUUUCGGACGGAGGGAGUAGAAA
rnacentral:pre_miRNA from 1 species